GAUGAACGCUGGCGGCGUGCCUAAUACAUGCAAGUCGAGCGAACAGACGAGAGUGCUUGCACUCUCUGACGUUAGCGGCGGACGGGUGAGUAACACGUGGGUAACCUACCUAUAAGACUGGGAUAACUUCGGGAAACCGGAGCUAAUACCGGAUAAUAUUUAGCUUCGCAUGAAGCAAUAGUGAAAGACGGUUCUGCUGUCACUUAUAGAUGGACCCGCGGUGUAUUAGCUAGUUGGUGAGGUAACGGCUCACCAAGGCAACGAUACAUAGCCGACCUGAGAGGGUGAUCGGCCACACUGGGACUGAGACACGGCCCAGACUCCUACGGGAGGCAGCAGUAGGGAAUCUUCCGCAACGGACGAAAGUCUGACGGAGCAAUGCCGCGUGAGUGAAGAAGGUUUUCGGAUCGUAAAACUCUGUUGUAAGGGAAGAACAAGUACGUUAGUAACUGAACGUACCUUGACGGUACCUUACCAGAAAGCCACGGCUAACUACGUG
rnacentral:rRNA from 1 species